GAGCUCCUUGAGGCCAGACAUCCCAUGGAAAUCAUCUCCGGACCCCUUGACCUGGCAGAUAAGGGCACUUGAGGGGCAUCAGCUGUUCCAGUGGUCACGCAACAUCCCUCCCGGCGUUUCUAAACCAGCCCACCCGCCCAGCAGCAGCAGCGCUCACUCGCAGGCUGCCGGCUCUCCUGUCCUGGGCUCUGAUUCUAGUCCCACGUCUUGGCCAGAUGAUUACGGGUCAGCAGAACCCCGGGAAAGCAGCGUGCAAACCUGAGUGCGUGCCCGUGAGCACACCGCGUCAGAGUGGUGUGCGGACGGUACUGGGCAAGAGCGCUGGGACAGGAAAACUGCAGAGCUGGGCAGCUACCUUCUGUUUGGCCUAGAGAGUUCGCUGAGCAUAUCUGUAUAAUCGUCACACAUGUGGAAGAUGGACACGUAAACAGAACUUUCGACUCUGCGUGGUAAGGACUACGACUGCCGUCAAUCUGAAAGGAGGCGGGGAGGCAAGAGCCCUGGACGGGCGGGGAAGAUGUGCAGAAGGACGACCUGGAAGGCUCAGGACAGGCAAGAGAGACAGCCAGCUCUCCAGGCAGAGGGGAGCACAGGGCUGCGAGGUGCCCCAGCUGAGCCUUAAUACACACGUGAACCAAGACCAGGCUGGCAGAGCCCAGACCAGGAGGGGCCGGCUGCCAGGCUUGGGAGGUGGGAGAAGCUUUGUAACGGCUUGAGGCUGGACCGUAAAACUUCGUGGAUGCAGUGGCCACGCCAUGAGGAAGCCCACACCGACCCGUGUGGAAAGACCACAUGGAGAAGUUGCCCCGAACGUUCUGGCCAACAGCCAGCAUCAACCACCUGACAUCAGCAAAGAUGCUUCCAGAUGAUUCCAGCCUGCUGUCAAGUCCUCCCCAGCCUGGGCGUCUUCCCAGCGGAGGCCCCGACCCCGUGCAGCAGAUGAGCCGUCCCUGCUGCGCCCCGUCUGAACUCCUGCCCCGUGGAGGCCAAAAGCUGACUUCAAUGGCAGUUCGUGCCGCAGAGGGCGGGGUGGUUUCUGGAGCACUAGCGACCGCAGCGCUGCUCCGUCCGGCACCCCAGCCUUCUCCCCGUCAUCUUUCAUCGCGUCGUGUCAGUAUUUUCCACUGGAGCUUCCCUGACUGCACUGCCCUUCCUGAGCUACGUGUCGGCGUGUUCACGGUCCCCCCGCCCUCCGGCUGCUGGAGUUCACAUGUGUGUGCCUGUUGAUGGCUUUGCUUACACUCCCUGGUCUCUUUCCCACCUGAAACCGCGUCUGGCCCACGGCAGGCGCCCUGCAGAAUUGUUUGGAAUAAACAGGUAAACCCGAGGUGGAAGGCUUUGGCGUCACUGCUAUCACAGCCCUUCUACCUGUCCUCGCAGUCGUGAACACCUCUGCCUCUCUGAUGCUCCCGGGAGUCCUGACAGAGAUGCCCCUGAUCUUCACCCUGAGCCCAGUGCGCCGUCUGCUGAGUGACAGUGCCCAGAUGAUGAGACACCUUGACAGAUUUGCUUAUUUUCUUUCUUUCCUUUUUUUUUUUUUUUUAAGAUUUUAAUCUAUUUAUUUAACACACAGAGAGCGAUCACAAAUAGGCAGAGAGAUAGGCAGAGAGAGAGGGGAAGCAGGCUCCCCGCCGAGCAGAAUGCCAAUGAGGGACUCGAUCCCAGGACCCCGAGGUCAUGACCUGAGUCGAAGGCAGAGGCUCAACCCACUGAGCCACCCAGGCACCCCACAGACUUGCUUAUUUUCUCAUUCUCCAAAUAUUUAUCAUAUGCCUAGGAUAUGCCAGACAUUGCACCAGGCUCUCAGGAGGAAGACAGGGGAUGAAGAAGACAAUUUCUGCCAUCAGGGGAAAGUAGAGAGCCACAGCAGUGGUGCAUACAAUAUGGUCAUGGAAGACUCCAGUGCAAAGGCAGGUGAGUGACAAGAAGGACCUCACUGGGUCCUUGCUGGGAGCAGCUGUGAACAGCAGGGAUGUGCAGAAGGACUCCAUGGGUUUAAGGAAGGCUGGGCCAGAGGGCAGAAAAUAAGCAAAUCUGUGGGGCGCCUGGGUGGCUCAGUGGGUUGGCCCAGGAGAGAGCAAGGGGGAAAGGCUGACAGGGCCCUGGUGAGGGGCCUCAUGAGCCAGUGGGCAGACGCACUAGGAGGCCAUGAGAGAGUGAGUUCUGGAAGAACAGGGCUCUGCAGUCACACGGGGUAAGGCCAAAGCCUGAAAGAAGUUCCAGGGUGACACAAAGCUCCUACACAGGUGGCAGGCUCUUGCCUUGGCCAGGGGAGGCAGUACUGGCUUUGGGGAGGAGGUGCCCUUGGGAGGAACUCUCUGGAGCCAGGGGCUCCCUCUUGGCCCCUGGUACACCACCCACCUGCCUGGCUUGGCAGAUGCUGGGAUUUCUGGAUGUCCUCCAUGACUCCCCAGCUCAUAUGGGGUACGUCCCUAACACCCAGGGAGGGAAGCCAACCCUUCCCUGAACCUGGCCAGCCUUCCCGAGCUGGUGCUAGUUUGGGCACUGUGGAGCAGGGGUUUGGUCAGAGACUCACAGGCUUGGGCUGGCAAAUGGUCCCAGCACUGUCACUUACUGGCUGGGUGGUCUCGUGCAGGCCACCCUCCCUCUCUGAGCCUUGGUUUCCUCAUUCAUAAAAAAGGGUCAUGAAUGGCUUCUGCCUGUGGACACCGUGAGGACUGACUGAGGGAACGUGAACACAGCGUCUUGUACAACUCUGGGCGUGUGGCACAAACUCCAGCCUGGCUCCCUCAUCUCACCCAAGUAGAACUGCCCACCUAGCACAAGGGUGGGCACACAGUAGGUGCUCAAUGAGCAUUAACAGGAAAGUAGCCAUCUUGUUAAUAAAACAACUUCUCUGUGGGACCUGGCUACAGAUGACUUCUCUUCAUGGGGGGAAAAAGUGCUGAGAAGCAAGUUCAAAAUUCAAACCGUGAGCAACUUGAGAAACAUAUUUUUCAGUAAGUCAAGGUAAAGACUGGGGUCGAAGAAAACAUCUGGCUAAGUGAACUAAUGGCUUUAGAGAAAAAGGACCCUUGCUUUGUGGAGACGGGAAAAAAUUAUCCACUGCUGGUUUUAAUUUAAGAUGAAAAAAAAUCUUAUUCUAUUAGCCUAAAUAUUGCUCUUAUGUCCAAUUGCAUGGAGUUUGGAAUAAUAUUUUUCAAACAGAACUACUGCUAUUUCAAGUAAUUACAAUGCUAAAAGCAGUCAUUUGGGGUUGAGCAAGGAUCUCAUCAUGGUUUCAAUUCCCUCUGGUGUCAUUUUCUGUUAUAUUUGAGAAAUUCCUCAAUAAAGAUGUCAAAUAGAGAGAGGGUUUUGCUCCCCAGAGGACAGAUUUGGCCACCCUCCCAGGCAAGCCAUCUCUAUAAGAAAAUAACCUCUUUUGCUCAAAAGAAAAGGUCCAACUGUGAAAACUCAGGCAAGAAACUAACCCCGAAGCCAUCAGCCUCAUUUCUCCUAAUUAACUCAGAAUGCUCUUCGUACUCUGCUGAUCAGGAUUUAGUCCAGCCAUCAUCCCCGAGGAAUUCAGUAGUGGUUGAGAGAGGAAUGUUACAGCUGGACAAGACUCCUGACCCAGACUCCUGGAGACCAAAAAACAAGAGAUGUGAACAGCCUUCACUGUCCCCGAUGGGUGAUGGGCUGUGAGUGGGCUCCUGGUGAUGGACCAGAGAUGGUCAGGACUGCACAAGGCAGCAAGAACAGAAAAUCUUCCAACAACUCCAUUAGCCCCCAAGGCCACUGAGCACAGGGGGGCAGGCCCUGUGCUGGAAACUUCACCAGGAAGCAUGAACAUGAUCCCUACUGAGACCAAGCAGCCUGGUGAAGUAGGCAGCAUCGUCAUCCCCCUUUCCAGCAGGGAAGCAGGCUCAGAGGUUGUGGCCAGAGUGACGGCUACUAGCAGGGGAAUGCCGGGCCAGGCACGCCUCUCGGCAGCAGGACACUGUCUCAGUCACUGCUCACAAGAGCCCAGGACGAAGCAGCUCUUCAUCCUCUCCCUUUACCAACAAGGGACUGAGACUCUGAGACAAGAAUAAAGUAUCCACAGCCACGCUCCUGCCCAGUUCACAGUCUUACCUCCUUGGCUCUAGCUGUUGGGGCCUGUGUCACUCAGCAGCCAGCAGCAGAGGAGGGCCUAGGGGACAGGCACAGCUGCUUUGAGACCCCAUGCUCUCUGCCAUGAGAUGGUUCUCCGGCUGCAGAUGGCAAACCACCUCUGUUACGAAUUAUGCCCCCCUAAGAUGCUGAAGUCCUAAGAACCAGUCCCUGUGAACCUGUAACCUCUGUUGGAGAUAGGGUCUUUGCAGAGGGGUCACAAGCCUAGGACUGUGUCCUUCUAGAAGAGGGGAAUUGGGACACAGAGACAGAUGUGCACGGAGCAAAGGCCACGUAAAAGCACGGGGAGACAAUGAUCUACAAGCAGAGAAUGCCGGAACUUAGCAGAAGCCAGGCGAGAGGCCCGGAGCAGAUCCUCCCUGGAAGCCCUCUGAAGGAACCAACCCUGCCGACGGCCUGACUACAGACAUCUUGCCUCCAGCCUGGGAGAGAAUAAAUGUCCAUUGUUUGGGCCACUGAGUUUGUCACAUCGUUACAGCAGCUCGCAGGAGUCACUUCUCACACCAUGAGACAACUGGCAAAAUGGUGAU